GGGCCCGUGGCUCAACCUGGCAGAGCAUCCGUCGGUCAACCGGACGGUUGUGGGUUCGAAUCCCACCGGGCCCGCCA
rnacentral:tRNA from 1 species